rnacentral:tRNA from 1 species
GCUCCGUUCGUCUAGUGGCUAGGACAACCGACUUUCUCUCGGUUAACAGGGGUUCGAUUCCCCUACGGAGUACCA